CUUAAGACCAGCUAACUUGGGUGGCGUUUGGAAUUUGAACUCUGAAAGUCAAUAUUUCAGUCACACUCGCGCAUACGGAGAAAAAGAGAGAAUGGAGAGUGUGGCGCUUCCCUUUGUGGGCAUGAUGAUGGCCGAGUGUGCACAGGUUGGGCUAAUGAUAGUGGGCAAAGCGGCUAUGUCGAGGGGAAUGAGCAACCUCAUCUUCAUCUUCUAUUCCAACGCCCUUGCCUCAUUCAUCCUUCUCCCCACUUCCUUUUUCUUCCACGGAUCAGAGCGUCCUCCGAUCACUUUCUCCCUCCUUUGUGGAUUCUUCGUGCUCGGCCUACUUGGUUUUGGUGUACAGAUUCUAGGCUAUGCUGGGAUUUUGUAUAGCUCGCCGACGCUUGGCACGGCCAUGCUUAACCUUAUCCCAGCCUUUACUUUUAUUUUGGCCGUUGCUCUCAGGAUGGAGAAACUGGAUUGGAGAAGCUCCAGUAGCCUAGCUAAAUCCUUGGGAGCCAUGUUGUCCAUUACAGGGGCAUUCAUUGUGACUUUAUUCAAGGGCCUUCCACUUUUAACGACACCCUCACCUUCAGAAGCAUCUCAUCAACUUCUAUUGCAAAUGUCAAACUGGGUCGUUGGAGGAUUGCUCCUUGCAGCUGAUUCUGUACUGGCUUCAGUAUGGCUUAUCUUGCAGGCAUUGAUACUUAAAAAAUACCCAGCAGGGCUUAUUAUAGCCUUUUUCUACUGCUUCUUUGUGGCCAUUCAAUCUGCAGUUGUUUCAUUGGUCUUGGAAAGAGACUUCAGUUCUUGGAGCUUACAACCUAAUACGAGGUUGAUUGCUGUUCUAUACUCGGGAAUGUUCGGUUCUGCAUUCCAAGUUGGCAUUUCUGUAUGGUGCAUGCACAAGACCGGGCCUGUUUUUGUUGCCAUGUUCAAGCCCGUGGGUAUUUUCAUUUCUAUUGUCGUGGGUGUUAUCUUACUAGGAGAUACUUUAUAUCUCCUAAGUUUGAUUGGAGCAAUUCUGAUUGUCAUUGGAUUUUAUUCUGUAAUGUGGGGAAAAGCCAGAGAACAGAAAAUGAGUGGGGAAGCUGCGGUAAGCAACUUGGACUCCAGCAGACAAAAAGCCCCUCUCUUGCAAAACAGUAUCGAAGAAAUGUAGAAAUUUCAUACAUCAAAUCAAAGCUUAAAGGUCUCUGUUGCCAACCCAAAUGGGGACCAGACUUUGUUUGACAGUUUAAUAUCAGGACAACUAAAGUUGAUUUCAACCAUGAACUUGGGAGGGAUGUUAGCCCCACCCCUUUUUAGAAGAAUAUUAUUUUGCCCAACUCUGAUGGGAAGAAGUCCAGGAAGCUAUUAGAUGGGCAACAAUAGUGUUUUCCAUGUGAUGUUGAAUCCGAACAUGGUAGGCAUGACUAUAGACCUUGUCAUGAUCUGAAAGUAAUGCUUUUACAGUCAAUCAUUCCACAUACAAAAGUAUGGCAAUCCAAUGAAAUCGGACUUCUUGCUUUUGGGGUCAGUGGGAUGAUCAAAUCUUAUGGAUGCAAUUAUCUGACUCGAGUUGAAGUCGUGACCUUCAACUUCAACUGCUUGUCAUAUCUAAUGGACGGACAUUUACUGCAUAUUUUUAUUCCCGCCCUUGAAUGUUUCAACUUUGACAGCAGAUUGAAUAACUGAAGUGAUUCUCAACUAUAGCUAGCUACUCUAGCCUGUGUAAUCAGUACGGAUAAAAAGACAUCUCUAGUUAUUCUCC